UGCUCGAUAGUAUAAUGGCAGUACAACAGAUUUUGAUUCUGUUAGUCUAGGUUCGAAUCCUGGUCGGGCAG
rnacentral:tRNA from 1 species